rnacentral:rRNA from 1 species
ACGUACACUCCUACGGGAGGCAGCAGUGGGGAAUAUUGGACAAUGGGCGCAAGCCUGAUCCAGCCAUGCCGCGUGAGUGAUGAAGGCCCUAGGGUUGUAAAGCUCUUUCACCGGUGAAGAUAAUGACGGUAACCGGAGAAGAAGCCCCGGCUAACUUCGUGCCAGCAGCCGCGGUAAUACGAAGGGGGCUAGCGUUGUUCGGAUUUACUUGGCGUAAAGCGCACGUAGGCGGACUAUUAAGUCAGGGGUGAAAUCCCGGGGCUCAACCCCGGAACUGCCUUUGAUACUGGUAGUCGUGAGUUCGAGAGAGGUGAGUGGAAUUCCGAGUGUAGAGGUGAAAUUCGUAGAUAUUCGGAGGAACACCAGUGGCGAAGGCGGCUCACUGGCUCGAUACUGACGCUGAGGUGCGAAAGCGUGGGGAGCAAACAGGAUUAGAUACCCCUGUAGUCCCAUG